GUAGUCUCGCACAGAUGCAUAUCAAUAAGCGGAGGAAAAGAAACUAACAAGGAUUCCCCUAGUAACGGCGAGUGAAGCGGGAAGAGCUCAAAUUUGAAAUCUUAAAGGGUUUCCCUUUACGAAUUGUAGUUUAAAGAAGUGUUUUCUGUUGAGGUUUUGGUAGAAGUUCUUUGGAAUAGGACAUCAUAGAGGGUGAGAAUCCCGUAUUUGACCUUUACUUUCAACUUUGUGAUACACUUUCAAAGAGUCGGAUUGUUUGGGAAUGCAGUCCAAAAUGGGUGGUAAAUUUCAUCUAAAGCUAAAUAUUGGCGAGAGACCGAUAGCGAACAAGUACCGUGAGGGAAAGAUGAAAAGAACUUUGAAAAGAGAGUUAAACAGUACGUGAAAUUGUCAAAAGGGAAGCGUUUGACACCAGUGUUGUUUUUCUGAAAAUCAAUUAAAGAACUGUUUAUGCUAAGCUGUUUAGACUUUAUCAGCUAUCUGUUUAGUUUUGAGCUUUUCUUUAAUGCACUUUUCAGUUAACAAGUCAACAUCAAUUUCUUUUGCUGUAAAAAAGCUUGAGGAAGGUGGCUUGAGAUUCGUCUUAAGUGUUUAUAGCCUCUUGCCUAUGCAGUCGGAGAGAUUGAGGUCUGCAGCGUAGAUCCUUCGGGGCUAAAUGCAUUUGUGCUAAGUUAUAAGCAUUUUAUAGACAACUUGUUGACUAUGAUUUGUCUUGUAGCUUACUCGCUUAUGUUAUUUUACCUACGCUUAGGAUGUUGAUCUGUAGUGCGUGCGC
rnacentral:rRNA from 1 species